CCGCUUCAACAGAGAAGUAGACGAUUGCGUCUGGGAGGUUAUUAGUAAACCUGUUCCAGAGCCUCUCAACGAGCGCGCCUGGAUGAGUUUCCCAGGAUCCGUAUUCGUGACUUUCUGUGGCCGGAGGACCAUCUUCCCCAAGGGCAAAGCAGGCUGGGAUCGCUGCAGAGUUAACUUCCGAUUUCCCAGGAUACAGGCAAGAAAAAGGCACAAACAGAACAUUCUUUUCCCGCCGGGUCCUCAAACCACCAGCUGCCAAACGAUGUCCCUCCUCCCGCAUUAAGACACAUUUUGGUGUCUGAGCAGCUGAUGAGUUUUAAACCAUGUGGACGACUGCUCUCAAAGAAGGCUGCAUCUGUUUGGAGCCUCGUGGCUUUUUAAUUCAUUAACUAUGCAGGACUCGGAUAUGACCUUGCCCGCUGACCUCCCUCCUAGUCACUUCCAUGCACGCCCAGGAACCUGCCCUUGGGCUCUGGCUCUAGGACUCCAUAGCUUAUCCUUUCCCAAAGCCUUCAUCCCGUAGAGAAUUUUCAAUUACGGAAUUACGGAAACCAAAUUGGAGAACAAGCAGGGGAGCCUGCGAAUGAUACGUCCCAGGAAGAUGGCAGGGUGACCCCAGGACUGCCUUCCUUGGACGCUCCGAGGAAAUUUUGAAAGCGGCAGAAC